UCCAUCGCUUCAAUUGGCAAAGGCUUUGGACAAUCUCUCCAGGGAAGUGCAUCACAUCAAUUUGUUGGAGCCCUGAUGG